rfam:Oryza brachyantha chromosome 3, whole genome shotgun sequence.
AAUAAACCAAUUUUUUAUUUUUUACCUUCAAUUUUUGACUUUUCGUCUUAUUUAACUUUUUUUGCGAUUGAUAUUUUUGUUUUUAUUAGAUGAUAAAUCAUGAAUAGUACUUUACGUGUGACUAAUUUUUUUCUAAUUUCCUGAAAAAUUUUUAAAUAAGACGGAUGAUCAAACGUUGGACACAAAAACCGAAGAAUUCGUUUUUU